AGGACAUGACUAUUACAGAAGGCAUGGCGGAUUCGUAAAGGACGAAAAGAGGAAAAAACUUCUCGUUAAGGGACAUUUUCCAAAGCAACCAAGUGGCACCAACCUAUGUGGAUAUUACAUCUGUGAGAUGCUUAGGGUCUCCGGGAGAUAAUGAACCAAGUUUACAGAUAGCUCCCAAGUAUUCCAUAUACCGCAAAUCGGUUCGACCAGAAAACACAUCUGAAAUUCUGCGGAGACCUAUGCCGGUUCAUUCGUCGUGAUAUCUGCAACCAUCUAGGGGAGUUCUAUGACCCUCACAACGAACUUUCUACGGACCCCAAAUUGAAAAACUUAAGAGAGUGGGAGGGAGAACCUGGACUGUAAUACAAAUUUUGUAGUACUGCAGAACUUGUGACAUUAUGAACA